UGUUGAUGAUGACAAAUCUAAGGCUUGUUUCUCAAAACAUUCGCAGUGGCCGCCUAAGAGCUUUCGCCUUCGCCAGGCUUGAGAGCUUGUGCUGCUUAAUCCUUCCUUGGAUGUCUGAAACA
rnacentral:snoRNA from 1 species